rnacentral:rRNA from 1 species
CAAGUCGAGCGCCCCUUCGGGGGAGCGGCGGACGGCUGAGUAACACGUUGGUACCUAACUCGAACUCAGGGAUAACUCCGCGAAAGCGGAGCUAAUACCGGAUGUCCCAGCAAUGGGAAAGCUACGGCGGUUCGAGAGGGGCCUGCGGCGUAUCAGGUAGUUGGCGGGGUAAUAGCCCACCAAGCCUAUGACGCGUACCUGGUGUGAGAGCACGACCAGGCAGAAUGGGACUGAGACACGGCCCAUACUCCUACGGGAGGCAGCAGUGAGGAAUUUUCCGCAAUGGGCGAAAGCCUGACGGAGCAAUCCCGCGUGGAGGAUGACACCCUUCGGGGCGUAAACUCCUUUUCUGAGAGAAGAAAUUCUGACGGUACCUCAGGAAUAAGCACCGGCAAACUACGUGCCAGCAGCCGCGGUAAUACGUAGGGUGCAAGCGUUAUCCGGAAUUAUUGGGCGUAAAGCGAUCGCAGGCGGACAAGCAGGUCUGGUGUUAAAUACCCACGGCGCAACCGGGGUGCCGCAUUGGAAACCGCUUGACUAGAGGAAGGCAGAGGCAGAUAGAAUUCCCAUUGUAGGGGUUAAAUCCGUAGAUAAUGGGAGGAAUACCAAAAGCGAAAGCAUUCUGCUAGGCCUUUCCUGACGCUGCUCGAUCGAAAGCGUGGGGAGCGAAACGGAUUAGAUACCCGUGUAGUCCACGCCCUAAACGAUGGAUACUCGAUGUUCGGAGGUUCAAUCCCUCUGAGUGUCUAAGCUAACGCGUUAAGUAUCCCGCCUGGGGAGUACGACCGCAAGGCUAAAACUCAAAGGAAUAGACGGGGAUCCACACAAGCGGUGGAGCGUGUUGUUUAAUUCGACAAUAAGCGAGGAACCUUACCAGGACUUGACAUCUCCGGAAUCUUCUGGAAACAGAGGAGUGCCUUC